UUAUUAAGGCCAUACAAGGUCAAGUGUUUGUUCUUAAGGUCAUACAAGGUCAAGUGUUUUGUUCUUAAGGUCAUACAAGGUCAAGUGUUUUGUUAUUAAGGUCAUACAAGGUCAAGUGUUUUGUUCUUAAGGUCAUACAAGGUCAAGUGUUUUGUUAUUAAGGUCAUACAAGGUCAUGUGUUUUGUUCUUAAGGUCAUACAAGGUCAAGUGUUUUGUUAUUAAGGUCAUACAAGGUCA